GAGUGCGGCGCUUUUUGAGAGCUCAUGUCCUAUCAGCUUGUUGGUAGGGUAACGGCCUACCAAGGCUUUGACGGGUAGCUGGUCUGAGAGGACGAUCAGCCACACUGGCACUGCGACACGGGCCAGACUCCUACGGGAGGCAGCAGUAAGGAAUAUUGCGCAAUGGGCGAAAGCCUGACGCAGCGACGCCGCGUGGGGGAUGAAGGUCUUCGGAUUGUAAACCCCUUUCGGGAGGGAAGAUGGAGCGAGCAAUCGUUCGGACGGUACCUCCGAAGCAGCCACGGCCAACUUCGUGCCAGCAGCCGCGGUAAUACGAAGGUGGCAAGCGUUGUUCGGAUUCACUGGGCGUAUUUUGUAGGCGGUUUGGUAAGCCUUCUGUUAAAGCUUCGGGCCCAACCCGGAAAGCGCAGAGGGUACUGCUAGGCUAGAGGGUGGGAGAGGAGCGC
rnacentral:rRNA from 1 species